rnacentral:lncRNA from 1 species
CUGCUCCCUCUCUCUUAACUUGUAUAUCGCCGUCGUCACUCUCACAUUGCCGUCUUUCUUGCUCAUUCACUGUGUUGUCUCCAUCGCUCUCCUCAUUGUAUCGCAACAGGCUACGUGACGACAACAGUGAUUUGUUUCGUGUAGUUGAUCGAUGUCGACCAAUUUGACGGUGACGAUGAUCGAACAACUAUGACAAUGUGAUUUUUUUCCUGUUAACAACUACGACAGCCGAGGGGAUAGUGGCGAAGGCAGAGAGCAUGCUCGACGGUGGCGGUAAGGUUAGGGUGCAAUCAGAUCUUCUCUUUUUUUUUUCCCUGUUAUUUUGUUUUGAUUUUAUUUUUUGUUGACUUCUUUCUUAGUUGACUGAGUAAAUUUUCCAUAUAGGCAAGGCUGGAUUGAGUGAAUGAACUAUUGAGGUCUCCAUCAAACUCAUUGUUAUUAUUACUAGUUUACUAUUGUUCAACGCAAUUUGCACAAGUGUUUGCCAGGUGUGAAUAUUGAGC